AAGGUUGGAGAGAGUGUUAUGGGUCUCAGAUCGGGCACGCCGAAGCAGGAGUAAGGAAACAGGUCCUCACAGAAACGUAGAUUAUAAAAAGGGAGACUUUAUUUUAGCCAGCUGGAGUCUGCCAAGGAGCAAGCUCUCCAAGUGCAGCCCCGAGCCUCUGUUAUAACAUCUUUUUAAGCAUUUUUACCACAUCCUGCUUAGUUUUUGCAACUUUUCCACCUUCGCCUAAAUUCAGCAAGCUAUAUUCUUUGUUUAAUGCUCGGGGGGCUUAAGCAUCCUGUUUUGCCCACCUGCUGCAGGAAAUGUGUGAAACUGUUGGUCUCUAACAAAGCAAUGUACAGAAGCAAAAAUAGCAUGGAGUUAGUUGAACAUCCUGUUUCUCAUGGGAUUUAUAUCUUUUCCUUUAGUUUCUCAGAAGUUGGUACGUAACUAGGGUCUGGGGCUAACUUUACAGAGAGCUUUGUGUCCUAUUUUUAUGUCUGAAAUUGCUUCAGCCCCUCACAUUCCCCCCUCUCCUUGUAACAGAGUCAAACCAUUGACUUCAGUUUUUUUUUUUUUUUGGCUUGGUAAUGUUCUUUAAUGAAAAGUAGCUUUACUGCCACUAGUCUCUUCUGAAUAUAACUCAUGAGGCAAUUCAUAACACAGGGUCCUACAGUAACUACAAGCAGGAGGAGAGCAAGGGGACCUGCAAGGGCUGUCAGGAGGGUUGUUAGCCAAGGGGACUAUGAGAACAGGCCUUGAUAACAGUUUGCUGUUGCUUCCCUCUGAACCUCUUUCUUUGAGGUUCUGUCUCACCAUAGCCAAGGUAUCUUGAAUAAUGCCUUAUUUGUUUGCAUAGAAGCAGCAGGUUUCACUUAAUGCCAUGCAAAGUCUCUCUUGUUUCAUAAAGAGGAGGUCCAGCCCUCUCCUAUUUUGCAAGACUACCUCUGCUAGGGAGUCUACAGUGGACUCUAACUGAUGGACUGAUCUCUCUAACAUCUCUAGAUCUUCAUCUACUUGUUUACUGAGCACUUUGAAAUUGGCAUUAUUUACAACAAAAGAAGCAGUCCCUACUGCUACUGAUCCUGCUAUUCUCAGCCCAACUAGGAGGGACACUAGGAUGGGGGCUGGUCUUUUUGUUCUAAGAGAAUAUAUUAAGCCCAUGUGUUCCCUACCAGCUUCCCCGUUAUAAACUUGAGGGAGGAUGUGAACCAAAAUACAGAGCUCAGGUGCCCUUAGGUCUCCUACAGUAGCUGUUAUUAAUUGCUCAAACAAGGGGUUAAUCUGCUGGUACAAGCAAACCACGUGGCAGAUGGGCUAACCAGGAAGUUAAUUUAACUUUUUCACUAGAGGCGGGGGAAGUGUAGUUUAGAGUAAUUUCACAGAGUUUCUGAAGACAGGGAUUUUUGACUGAAUAUGAAGGGGAAUGGAUGCAAAACCCUGUGCCUUGCACAUCUCCCAAGCCAAAUUUUCCAAGAGGUAAAGAGAGUCCUCCUGAUAAGAAGUUGGACCAGGUGAACAUAAGAGCAAGUCAUACACAUAUUGGAUCAAGGUCAGAUAAAGGGACACCUAUUUCGCGGUCCGGUGCCCACCUGUGCAUAGCAGCGGAGCCUGCAUGUCCUGUCUUGUGAUGAAUCCAUCGUGCAAGUGUUAAUGUUUCGUCACUAAUGGGAGUAGAACAUUCCACUUCAGCUAUAGCUGCUAAGCAAUCCACAUCAGCGUUAUACUCACGUUCAACUGAAGUCUUCUUAGCGUGAGCGCCUACAUGGAACGCAGACAGGUAUCUUUCUAGACGUCGUUGGCUGAAGAACAUUGACAUCUUAACGUUUGAGUUUGCUUGAUGCCUUAGGACGAAGAUCACCUGACUGAACAUGCAAGGAGAACAAAAGCAAAAAUAAACAAGUGGGACUACAUCAAACUAAAACCCUUCUGCACAUCGAAGGAAAUCAUCUGCAAAAUGAAAAGGCAACCUACUGUAUGGGAGAAAGAUAAAAAUGCUCUUAAAUUAUAUAGUGUUGUUAGUUGCCCAGCUCUGUGUAUAUAAAAAACACAGUCUUGUACACUGUAAAGGUUGAGUUUUAUGGUAUUUGAGUUAUAUCUUAAUAAGGCUGUUUUUUAGAAAGAAUAUAUAAAGUAACCUAAAAUGUUCAUAAAUAUAUUGCUAGGUUUACAUACAUAUAUGUAUGUGUGUGUAUGUGUACAUAUACAUAAUAUAUGUCAGUAUAAAAAUUACAGAAUUAUCUUUGAAUUAUAUACACAACAAAAAAUAUAAAGGAAAUGAUAUGUGACAGAUAUCCCCAAUGCAACCUCUUUGCCAGAGUAACAAUGUUGCAAACAAAAAUAUCAAAACUAAGCUAUUUCUCAGGCAGAACCUUCAUGAUGGUUCUAACGUAGAUCCUGUUUGCUUUCCAACCCUGGUUUUCCAUCUCUCUUAUUGAUGACAUGUACAACCUGAUAUCCUUGGAUAAGAUUUAUUUUUGAUUCAAUGAUCCUGAGCGUUCUGUUGUUCAUAACCACACACCCUGAUCAAUGCAGAGGUUGGCAGAUGUAAGUGCUAUUUACAGUCAUAGAGGGAAAAGAAACAUUUUAUUUCUAAAACCACUUUAUUGAGGUGUGAUUGAUGUACAAAUACCUGUACAUGUUUAAUAUAUACAAAUUGAUUUAAAUAAAUUUCUAAGAAAGAAAAUGUACAAGGAAGAAAAGGGAGCCCAACGCCUCAACAUAGAACAUGUCAGCUUGAAGAGGAGCUUAGAGGAAGAGGAGCCAAAAAAUGAGCCAAAGAAUGGAAUUCACACGGGAAGGAAGAAAACCAGAGGAGGGUGGUUUCUUGAAAUCCAGAAGAUUCAAGGGAAAGGAAGUAGGCAGCACAUUCCAUGCUACUAAGUAGUGAAACAGGGGCAGAGGAAUGAUGUUUGAUUUAACAUCAGAAAGUUGUUUGAGAACAAGAAAGAAACAAUGUAGAGGACAGAAGGGGAUGCAAGAAUUGUUGGAGGGGGAGAUGAGGAAGCAGGGACAACCCAUUUAGAAAACAUAUCAUGAAAGUUUGGCUGUGAAGAACAGCAGAUAUGUAAACAGUAAAUAGUAGGGAAGUAUCAUCAAAGGAAGGAAUUUGUUUAAGACAGAGAAUAGUGGAGCAUGAUGGUAUAAUGAUGGGAAUGACCACUAGAGCAGGAGAAUAUAAAGAUGCAAGAGCCACAGUGGUUAUCUGUAGGGAUAACAUAUUUUAAAGGGAGAAAGUGAAGGUGAGAUGCACUGGAAAUGCUGGAUUUGUUAAAAUUAUGACCCACCUGCCCCAUGCUUCAUACUCUUACUUGAAGACAAGCUGGCACCUACGUCCCCAUGGAUGGCCAAAUUGAGAAUGAAGGGUUAACAAACCAGUAAUGGCCAGAAGAUGAAGGAAUGGGAUUUGAAGUCCAUGAACUCAAGACUGAGUAAUAGAGUUUAAUGUGGAAUGACACAUUUUAAAUUUGAGAAAUGUAUUGGUUGGGGGUUAUUAUGUGCCACUUGUAGUUUUUUGGCAUGUAUGUGAAUGUUUGUGUGUUGUAUAUUUAGAGUUGGGGAAGGGUGGAGCUGUGGAAAGAUCAUGUUGUUAAGUAAAAAGAUAUCCCUACAAUGAAGCAAAUUAGUAGAGGGGACUUUCUCCUUUACAGGGGGAGAAAAGGGCAGUCCUCAAGACAGAGAAGAAAAACUAGGAACAAGGAUCAGCCCAGAAUGGAAUCUGGAGAUGGGUGAUUUUAUUCCUGGACUUUAAGGAUCAUUGAUACUUAGCCAUCAUAUCCUAGUAGUUUUGUUCCAUAUUAUAAUUCCCUCUAGUUCCUCUAGUUAUAUUUACCCUGUCAUUAAAAUCUGCUGCUCCUGUAAUAUCUAGAGAGGUAUUUGGGGAUAUUUAAGAAGUAGGGCUGUGGGGAGGUGGAGGUGAUGCCUGAAGCAGCAUGGGAGGCUCUAUGAGAUUGGGAAAUCCUUAAGGAAAUAGGAUGCCGAAGUGGUGGCAGGGGCCAUGUGUAAGCUAUUUCUCACAGUAUGAAGAAAGGCCAUAGGAGAAGGAUGCACUCCUCUGAGAAGCAUGAGAAGAGGCAGCAUGAGAAUGCCAGCUGUGAGGUGCAGUGGAGGGGGUGAAAGAUUCCAUGAAGAUUCAGAAAGCAUUGCUGCAAAGCACUGUGGAGAAGGUAAAGGAUGUAGUGGUGACUGAGAUCGAAGCACUUUAUGGGGCAGCUGUGGGAUUAAUGGGAUUAAUACAUAAAUCAAGUAAUAUAUAAGUCAAAUGUACAAAUACAUAUGACUUGAUUGUUUUUCCUACAACUCCUGAUGCACGAUCAAAAACAGAAUGAUUAGAACCAAAACAGUUCCCACAACUCGUGACCGGCCUCACAUGGUUUCGGUAUCCUUGAGGAGCGUCAUGCCCUAGGGCUAGACUCAGGGUCAGAUAACGAUUGUGUGUUGUGUUGAACCCCUUACUCAGAAUUCUUUAGAUGUUUAAGUUCAUUUGCUCAAUAAAUAUGAGGAGUGCCUUUUCGGCAUUACUCUUGUGCUGUGACAUCUUGAGUCCCCUGGCUGGCCUUUCAGGUCUCCAGCAUUCCGUCGCGUUCCCUCCAAAUCUGCAGGUCAGAGGCAGAGGGGAGCCGACAAGUGGCACCCAAACAGGGACCUCAGAGUGGGAGAGCUCCUGAAGAUCGUUGAUCCGGUAAGACUCCCGGGAAAGCAUACAUAGAGACAGGAUCGAGACGUCAGGGGCACUAUAAUGGGCCAACAUGAAACUAAAGCAGAUAAUCCAGAGGAUUACACAAGCCCGUGGAAUUCCCCUGUAUUUGUUAUAAAGAAGAAGUCAGGAAAAUGGAGACUCUUACAUGACUUAAGACAAAUUAAUGUAGUCCUUAAACCUAUGGGACCUUUACAACAAGGCCUCCCUUCUCCGGCUAUGAAUCCGAAAGACUGGGACAUGGCUAUCAUUGAUCUUAAAGAUUGUUUUCUUACUAUUCCUUUAGCUUUGGCAGGGAAAAGUUUGCUUUUACUGUAUGUACCCUCCUUAAAUUUACAAGCUCCUUCAGAAAGAUUCCAAUGGAAAGUACUUCCUCAAGGAAUCUUAAA